UACGAAGGGGGCUAGCGUUGCUCGGAAUCACUGGGCGUAAAGCGCACGUAGGCGGAUUGUUAAGUCAGGGGUGAAAUCCUGGAGCUCAACUCCAGAACUGCCUUUGAUACUGGCGAUCUUGAGUCCGGGAGAGGUGAGUGGAACUGCGAGUGUAGAGGUGAAAUUCGUAGAUAUUCGCAAGAACACCAGUGGCGAAGGCGGCUCACUGGCCCGGCACUGACGCUGAGGUGCGAAAGCGUGGGGAGCAAACAGG
rnacentral:rRNA from 1 species